AGAAUCAACGCUGGCGGCGUGCCUAACACAUGCAAGUCGAACGAGAAAGUGGUAGCACUACCAUGAGUAAAGUGGCGCACGGGUGAGUAACACGUGACUAACCUACCCUGGAGUGGGGGAUAACUGAGGGAAACYUUAGCUAAUACCGCAUAAUACCUACGGGUCAAAGGAGCAAUUCGCUUUGGGAGGGGGUCGCGGCCGAUUAGUUAGUUGGCGGGGUAAUGGCCCACCAAGACAGUGAUCGGUAUCCGGCCUGAGAGGGCGCACGGACACACUAGAACUGAAACACGGUCCAGACUCCUACGGGAGGCAGCAGUGGGGAAUUUUGCGCAAUGGGGGAAACCCUGACGCAGCAACGCCGCGUGGAGGAUGAAGUCCUUCGGGACGUAAACUCCUUUCGAUCGGGACGAUAAUGACGGUACCGGAAGAAGAAGCCCCGGCUAACUUCGUGCCAGCAGCCGCGGUAAUACGAGGGGGGCGAGCGUUGUUCGGAAUUAUUGGGCGUAAAGGGUGCGUAGGCGGUUUGGUAAGUCUUAUGUGAAAUCUAUGGGCUCAACUCAUAGACUGCAUGAGAAACUGCCGGGCUUGAGUGUGGGAGAGGUGAGUGGAAUUUCCGGUGUAGCGGUGAAAUGCGUAGAUAUCGGAAGGAACACCUGUGGCGAAAGCGGCUCACUGGACCACAACUGACGCUGAUGCACGAAAGCUAGGGGAGCAAACAGGAUUAGAUACCCUGGUAGUCCUAGCCCUAAACGAUGACUGCUUGGUGUGACGGGUACCCAAUCCCGCCGUGCCGUAGCUAACGCGUUAAGCAGUCCGCCUGGGGAGUACGGUCGCAAGGCUG
rnacentral:rRNA from 1 species